GAUGAACGCUGGCGGCAUGCUUUACACAUGCAAGUCGGACGGGAAGUGGUGUUUCCAUUGUCGGACGGGUGAGUAACGCGUAAGAACCUGCCCUUGGGAGGGGAACAACAGCUGGAAACGGCUGCUAAUACCCCGUAGGCUGAGGAUCGAAAGGAGGAAUCCGCCCGAGGGGGGGUCCGCGUCCGAUUAGCCAGUUGGUGAGGUAAUAGCUUACCAAGGACGUGAUCAGUAGCUGUUCCGAGAGGAUGAUCAGCCACACUGGGACGGGGACAAGGAGCGGACACCUGCGGAAGGCAGCAGUGGGGAAUUUUCAGCAAUGGGCGAAAGGCUGACGAAGCAAUGCCGCGUGGAGGUAAAAGGCCUACGGGUCAAGAACUUCAUUUCAUGGAGAAGAAACAAUGACGGUAUCUGGAGAAUAAGCAUCGGCUAACUCUGUG
rnacentral:rRNA from 1 species